UUUUCUAAAAAAAUUUUUUUUCUAACGUUUUAUUUUAUCUUUUGAGAGAGAGACAGAGCAAGAGCAGGGGAGGGGCAGAGAGAGAGGGAGACAUAGAAUCUGAAGCAGGCUCCAGGCUGUGAGCUGUCAGCACAGAGCCCGAUGUGGAACUUGAACCCAUGAACUCGAGAUCAUGACCUGAGCCGAAGUCGGCCGCUCAACCGACUGAACCCCCCAGGCUCCCCUACGUCACACAUUUUGAUCAGGCUUGACAAAUGUAUACCCCGGGAACCACCACCACCAUAAUCGGUAUUUAGAAUAUUUCCAUCACCCCCAGACUCCUGCUUCCCUUUUGUUGCCCACCCCUCUACCCGUGCUUUUUAAAAAUACAUGUGAGAGCUUUAUUAAGAUAUAAGUCACAUACCUUAUGACUCACCCAUUUAAAGUAUACAAUUCAAUAAGUUGUGCAACCGUCAACAUAAUCAAUUUUAGAACAUUUCCUUUACCCCAAAAAGUAACCCUGUACCCAUUAGCAGAAUCCUAGGUUUAUGUGGGACAAAAAUAGAUUUUUUUUUUUUUUUUUUUGGAAAAGCACUUGUUACCUUUUAGUAGACCUCCCUCCGUGGGGCUUCAAGCUGCCAGGACACAGCCAUUCCUACCCCUUGAUCUUCUCUUCAGCUCUUCUGUUGAAGAAUUUGGCCUUCACAAUGACAGGCUGCUUGGGGGAGCCCUCUCCUGUCCAAUACUUUGUAAUAGCCUGAUGGUACCACAUCACUGAUAGGAGCUGUUCUGUAUAUUUCAAAUAAAUGGUGUCUUCUAAUAUUUGGGCUUUCGUUAUAGGCUUUUUUCACUUAGCAUGAUGUUUUCAGGGUUGUAGUGUAAUAGGUCGACUUAUAAGAUAUCAGAAAGCUUACUGUAUAUAAGUUCGGCUUAAACUCACCUUUCAUGAAUAAUUAAGAUAAAAGCUUAUGCAGUUCCCUAUUAGGGUUAUCGGAAAUUACUAACCACCCUAUCUCGCUUCCGUAACUUCGCCUGCUUGUUAAGUAGAUAACUUAGGUUGCAAAACGCUCCCCACCCCUUCUACCAAGAUCUGGCCUAGGCAAGACCAACAUGUAAAAAGUCACGAACUCACUGCCCCACGGUAUCUUAGGUGUCUAUGAUUGGUGAUUUUAAACCCUCUUAGAACAAAGAACUUUAAAUUGAUAGGUUCCCGCCAAAACUAACGGUCUGUGUGUCACAAUAUAAUUGGCUCCCGUGAAAUGCUGUAAAUUGUCAUUGGUUAACUAAAUAAUGACGUACUCUGACUUGCUAAAAUCCAUGUAAGCUCACUGCUACCUUUGUGCGGGGCCAUUCUCUGCACUUUUCUCCUUAAGAUCAGGAGAUCAGGUUUGGCCCGGCCGUGAAUAAAAUCUUGCCUCGCUUCUA